rnacentral:rRNA from 1 species
UGGGGAAUCUUGGACAAUGGGGGCAACCCUGAUCCAGCCAUGCCGCGUGAGUGAUGAAGGCCUUAGGGUCGUAAAGCUCUUUCGCCUGUGAAGAUAAUGACGGUAGCAGGUAAAGAAACCCCGGCUAACUCCGUGCCAGCAGCCGCGGUAAUACGGAGGGGGUUAGCGUUGUUCGGAAUUACUGGGCGUAAAGCGCACGUAGGCGGACCAGAAAGUUGGGGGUGAAAUCCCGGGGGCUCAACCCCGGAACUGCCUCCAAAACUAUUGGUCUAGAGUUCGAGAGAGGUGAGUGGAAUUCCAAGUGUAGAGGUGAAAUUCGUAGAUAUUUGGAGGAACACCAGUGGCGAAGGCGGCUCACUGGCUCGAUACUGACGCUGAGGUGCGAAAGUGUGGGGAGCAAACAGGAUUAGAUACCCUGGUAGUCCACACCGUAAAACGAUGAAUGCCAGUCGUCGGGUAGCAUGCUAUUCGGUGACACACCUAACGGAUUAAGCAUUCCGCCUGGGGAGUACGGCCGCAAGGUU